GACGAACGCUGGCGGCGUGCUUAACACAUGCAAGUCGAACGGAAAGGCCCUGCUUUUGUGGGGUGCUCGAGUGGCGAACGGGUGAGUAACACGUGAGUAACCUGCCCUUGACUUUGGGAUAACUUCAGGAAACUGGGGCUAAUACCGGAUAGGAGCUCCUGCUGCAUGGUGGGGGUUGGAAAGUUUCGGCGGUUGGGGAUGGACUCGCGGCUUAUCAGCUUGUUGGUGGGGUAGUGGCUUACCAAGGCUUUGACGGGUAGCCGGCCUGAGAGGGUGACCGGCCAAAUUGGGACUGGGAUACGGCCCAGACUCCAACGGGAGGAAGCAGUGGGGAAUAUUGCACAAUGGGCGGAAGCCGGAUGAAGCAACGCCGCGGGCGGGAGGAGGGCCUUCGGGUUGUAACCGCUUUCGCCUGUGACGAAGCGUGAGUGACGGUAAUGGGUAAAGAAGCACCGGCUAACUACGUG
rnacentral:rRNA from 1 species